GCUCAAUUUCUCACAGGGCUGCGCAGGUUUCCCCCUUCUGCGAAUGGACCACUGGAGGGGUUCAAAGGUUCGCGUCCCAGUACGGGAAUGAGCCUCUUUGAUCUCUUCCGGGGCUUUUUCGGCUUUCCUGGACCUCGGAGCCACAGAGAUCCCUUUUUUGGAGGGAUGACUCGAGAUGAAGAUGAUGAUGAGGAAGAAGAGGAAGAAGGGGGCUCAUGGGGCCGUGGGAACCCAAGGUUCCAUAGUCCUCAGCACCCCCCUGAGGAAUUUGGCUUCGGCUUCAGCUUCAGCCCAGGAGGAGGGAUACGUUUCCACGAUAACUUCGGCUUUGAUGACCUAGUACGAGAUUUCGAUAGCAUCUUCAGCGAUAUGGGGGCCUGGACCUUGCCUUCCCAUCCUCCUGGUGUGUGGCUUCCCCUAAGGGGCAACCUGUGGUUUCUGGUGGGUUGGUGGGUGAAAUAAAGAGCCUGCAGGGAGUAGCUGGGGGAUGGGAAGUGUGAGAAGACUGAUGAUUUCAGGGAGAUUAAUAGAGCCCAAGUCCUUUCCCAUCCCAGCAAACACCUGCCACCUUUCUGCAGAACUUCCAGGUCCUGAGUCAGAGACACCUGGUGAGAGACUACGGGAGGGACAGACACUUCGGGACUCAAUGCUUAAGUAUCCAGAUAGUCACCAGCCCAGGAUCUUUGGGGGGGUCUUGGAGAGUGAUGCAAGAAGUGAAUCCCCCCAACCAGCACCAGACUGGGGCUCCCAGAGGCCAUUUCAUAGGUUUGAUGAUGUAUGGCCUAUGGACCCCCAUCCUAGAACCAGAGAGGACAAUGGUAAGUCUGGAGGAAGGGGAAGUUUACCAGCCUUUUGUUAUUCUUCUGAAGUUCUGUGUGUUCUCCCUCCCUGAAGUUUCUUCCUGUACACUUGUCUCCUUUUUUCCUUUGGACUCUUUCUCUCCUGCUUCUUCAUCUCUCUGCUCUUCCAGAUCUUGAUUCCCAGGUUUCCCAGGAGGGUCUUGGCCCGGUUCUACAGCCCCAGCCCAAAUCCUAUUUCAAGAGCAUCUCUGUGACCAAGAUCACUAAACCAGAUGGGGUGAGUUGAAAG
rnacentral:sRNA from 1 species